CCUUCGGGCCUCUUGCCAUCGGAUGUGCCCAGAUGGGAUUAGCUUGUUGGUGGGGUAACGGCUCACCAAGGCGACGAUCCCUAGCUGGUCUGAGAGGAUGACCAGCCACACUGGAACUGAGACACGGUCCAGACUCCUACGGGAGGCAGCAGUGGGGAAUAUUGCACAAUGGGCGCAAGCCUGAUGCAGCCAUGCCGCGUGUAUGAAGAAGGCCUUCGGGUUGUAAAGUACUUUCAGCGGGGAGGAAGGGAGUAAAGUUAAUACCUUUGCUCAUUGACGUUACCCGCAGAAGAAGCACCGGCUAACUCCGUGCCAGCAGCCGCGGUAAUACGGAGGGUGCAAGCGUUAAUCGGAAUUACUGGGCGUAAAGCGCACGCAGGCGGUUUGUUAAGUCAGAUGUGAAAUCCCCGGGCUCAACCUGGGAACUGCAUCUGAUACUGGCAAGCUUGAGUCUCGUAGAGGGGGGUAGAAUUCCAGGUGUAGCGGUGAAAUGCGUAGAGAUCUGGAGGAAUACCGGUGGCGAAGGCGGCCCCCUGGACGAAGACUGACGCUCAGGUGCGAAAGCGUGGGGAGCAAACAGGAUU
rnacentral:rRNA from 1 species